rnacentral:rRNA from 1 species
ACGAACGCUGGCGGCGUGCUUAACACAUGCAAGUCGAACGGAAAGGCCCUGCUUGCAGGGUACUCGAGUGGCGAACGGGUGAGUAACACGUGGGUGAUCUGCCCUGCACUUCGGGAUAAGCCUGGGAAACUGGGUCUAAUACCGGAUAGGAGCCAUUUUUAGUGUGAUGGUUGGAAAGUUUUUUCGGUGUAGGAUGAGCUCGCGGCCUAUCAGCUUGUUGGUGGGGUAAUGGCCUACCAAGGCGGCGACGGGUAGCCGGCCUGAGAGGGUGGACGGCCACAUUGGGACUGAGAUACGGCCCAGACUCCUACGGGAGGCAGCAGUGGGGAAGAUUGCACAAUGGGCGCAAGCCUGAUGCAGCGACGCCGCGUGGGGGAUGACGGCCUUCGGGUUGGAAACUCCUUUCGCUAGGGACGAAGCUUUUUGUGACGGUACCUAGAGAAGAAGCACCGGCUAACUACGUG